UGCUAUACUGCCUGGGCAGAGG
rnacentral:piRNA from 1 species